CCUACGGGUGGCAGCAGUGAGGAAUAUUGGUCAAUGGACGAGAGUCUGAACCAGCCAAGUAGCGUGAAGGAUGACUGCCCUAUGGGUUGUAAACUUCUUUUAUAUGGGAAUAAAACGUUCCACGUGUGGGAUUUUGUAUGUACCCUAUGAAUAAGGAUCGGCUAACUCCGUGCCAGCAGCCGCGGUAAUACGGAGGAUCCGAGCGUUAUCCGGAGUUAUUGGGUUUAAAGGGAGCGUAGGUGGGUUGUUAAGUCAGUUGUGAAAGUUUGCGGCUCAACCGUAAAAUUGCAGUUGAAACUGGCAGUCUUGAGUACAGUAGAGGUGGGCGGAAUUCGUGGUGGAGCGGUGAAAUGCCUAGAUAUCACGAAGAACUCCGAUUGCGAAGGCAGUUCACUGGACUGCAACUGACACUGAGGCUCGAAAGUGUGGGUAUCAAACAGGAUUAGAUACCCUUGUAGUC
rnacentral:rRNA from 1 species